UUCUGCAUCAGUAUCUAUUAU
rnacentral:piRNA from 1 species